rnacentral:lncRNA from 1 species
AGUUAAGAGAUACAUCAGGAUUUCCUGUUGUGGCUCAGGAUCGAACCUGCAUCCUCAUGGAUCUUAGUGAGGUUCAUUAACCACUGAGCCACGAAGGGAACUCCCUGAAUCUCUACUCUUAACCUCUCUGCUAAACUAUUAAUACGAAUAACAAGUACUUUAUUGAGAAUUCAUAUGUUCCUGGCAUGACCUUAAGAACUCCAUAGAUAAUACCUCAUUUAACCCCUACCACAAUCCCUCAUAAGGCAAGUGUUUCAAAACCACCCUCUUAGAGGAGGAAAUAGAUGCUGGCGAGAUCAAUGAACACACUUGAAUUACAAAGCUAGAGAACAUGAGAGUCAGGAUAUGAAUGCUAGUCUGUCUGACAACAAAGCAAAGUGCUCAGCCAUCAUGCAAUGUGCUUUCUGACCCUUAGAAGACAGGAGAUCAUGGACUCUCUCCAAGGGUAAACCACAGUCAUGCUUCCCUUAAGUUGGCUGCCUAAGAGCCACUCUAAGCAAAUGCCUUAACUUUCUUUGCCUUGGUUUCCCCAUAGGGGAAAUAGAAUUAAAUUGAUCCAAAAAUAAGGAGAGCAGUAAAAAGCUUUUCUUCUUUGAAAUGCUGGAAAAAGAAUGGUUUGUCAAGUACCAUCCAACUUUCUGUUUCAUUUGGGGAGAAGCAUUUUGCUUUGGCUUUUAAAGUUGAAGGACAUUACCACUGAAACCAGUGUUUAGAAAUAAGGAGUUCCCUUCAUGGCUCAGCAGUUAAUGAACCUGAAGAGUAAUAAUCCAUCUAGAUUACCAUGUUCAGGCUGCUAUAACAAAGCACCACAAACUGAUGGGUUAAACUACAUAAACUUAAUUUCUCACAGUUCUGGAAGCUGGAAUCUAAGGUCAAUGCGUCGGUAGACUUGGUUUCUCCUAAGACUCCAUGACAUGAUUUCUCUCCAUGACUAGGAUCCAUGAGGUUUCGGGUUCUAUCCUGGCCUCACUCAAUGGGUUAAGGAUCUGGCAUUGCCGUGAGCUGUGGUGUAGGUCGCAGAUGCAGCUUGGAUCCUGCAUUGCUGUGGCUGUGGCGUAGGCCGGCAGCUACAGCUCCAAUUGGACCCCAU